rnacentral:rRNA from 1 species
CACGUAGGGCGCAAGCGUUGUCCGGAAUUAUUGGGCGUAAAGAGCUCGUAGGCGGUCUGUUGCGUCCGCUGUGAAAACUCGGGGCUUAACCCCGAGCCUGCAGUGGAUACGGGCAGACUAGAGGUAGGUAGGGGAGAAUGGAAUUCCCGGUGUAGCGGUGAAAUGCGCAGAUAUCGGGAGGAACACCGGUGGCGAAGGCGGUUCUCUGGGCCUUACCUGACGCUGAGGAGCGAAGCGUGGGGAGCGAAACAGG